UGUAAUGCGAAAUGACCGCGGGAUUGUAUUGCACAAAAAAAAGGGCUGGGAUAGGAGAUCAUAGAUAAAGGAUGUGCGGCAAAAAAUGAGGUGCAAGCCAAAAAUGGGAGCUACGAUGGAAAGUAAUAAAUACACGAGGGAAGCACCUCUGCGGGACAAGAGAAAGCCACACGAUCUCCCAGGUCCUUCAAAGAAACCUCACACAGGGUCACUGCUGGCUGGAGGGACAUCCACAGACAAGGAGCUGUCGCAAACAAAGCCUGCGGGCAGAAGAAAUGGUUGGAAUCAGUACUUUAAAUGCUCUGUUUCCAUGAAAGCCAGCUGGAAGAGGAGCACAAAGCCUGGCCCAUGAUGCAAAACGAAGCUCUGGAUCAUUCCGAUGCUCUUAGUGUGCUUUGGGGAGAAGCUGUUCCCAGUUGCAACACAUAGCUGCUCUCGGGCAGUGCUGCUGUAACCAGCUCCCUCUAACUCAUUUGAAGAUUUUAAAGAGCACAGAUCGGAGAGAGUGUGACCUGCAUCUCAGAAGGCCAAAGGGACCUCAAUAAAGGAGGUGGCAGCAACCAGUGCUGUCCUGGUCACUGCACGAGGACUGGUGUGCAGCCUGCUGCCUUGUCCCACUGACUACAAGCUUGGGAGCAAGCAUCAGGCGUCAACACUUGGUCCUGCACCCCUCCUACUCAAAUAGCCAAGAACAGGAGACUCCAUCCAGCUGCUCUCCAUCACCUGGUGUCUCAGCCACCAGCACACACGAGGGCAGAGCCCAGGGCUCUGCAGGGCACCAUUUAAUUGCUUGUCCACACAGUGAAUAUAGGGAGAACCCAGCUAUCUGCGAGCACUGCAGCCAAACACUGUUAAAACAUCUGCAUGUUUCUUAUCACCACUUGGAGAGGAUUAACAUGCCAGGCCAGUUAUUAAUGAGGGAGCAGGUUAUAAACCCAUCUCAGCUUGAACACUGUGUUCACAUCAAGAAAAGCAAAGCAGGAACAGGACAGAUCAAAAGAGAGCCAUUAAAGGCGUGAGAAAAACGGUGCUGCCAUAUAAGGAGCUAAUAAAGUUAGCAGCUCUCCAGUUUGGAGGAAAAAAGGGCAGGAGGAUCAGAAAACAUCCUUGGGUUCAUACCAAAAGCAAAGGGAACAGCCAGAGGCAGCCUCCCAUCUAGGAGCAAACGUGGAUAAAUGGAAAGGCACUUUACAGAGCAAGCAGACAACACUGCUCAUACAUUUUUAACAUGUAACAUAAUGUUUGUAACAUUUCUAACCCAGUAUCUUACCUCAAAUGGUGGAGCUCCCUAAAAAACGAAAGGUUAGGUACAGAACAAGGACAGCAACAAGAGCUGUGUUUGCUAAAACCCUAACUCCCCACAAUCAGCCCUGGCUCAGCGAGGGCUCUGCUUUGUGAGCUCACCGCGUCGCAGCCGGAGAGUGGGGCAGGAGGCAUUACGCUGCUCCCCACAGCUGGGGACACCACGCUGACCAGCCCUGCACGGAUUACAGCACUCGCAUUCACAGCACGCAGCGAUUACCCUCAGUGUCCAGUAAGCAUCCAGCUUGCUUUGCUUUGUGCAGAGAAAUGGUGUGCUGCUCAGACAAGAGCUCUCGAGACACUCAGGGCUCUGCUUUGUUCGAGCCGGUCAGCUCCACCAACAUCUUGCCAUGAGGAAUUUUAUUGACAUGCCUUUCCUGCUCAUUGACUGUAUUUAUUAACACAACAGUAUGGCAGCUGAAUAUCAAAUUGCCAGCCAAGCUUUUAUCUCAUUUUUUAAGCCAGCCUGAAUUGCCGCACUAAUUUUAUUGCUUACCCAUUACAUUUUAUGCAAUAGAUAAUUUUCUCCAAAAAGGACUUGGUGGUUUUUGAUAUUUGGGCUCAUGUGUUGCCAAGACAGAGGAUAUUGGCUAAUGUGCUGAUAACGCUUUGAACAUGAAGCCUGAUUCUGGAUCCUAAGCAACAACACAAAGUAUAGGAUUUGAAUUAAUAAAGCUAUUGAUUUCAGUCCUCGCCUCUUA